GUGGGUUUGGAGAACUAUUUCUGGCCUUUGGUGCCACUCAGAACUACUCAGUCACACUUCUAUAUAAAAUAUCUUCCAAGAUCUGAAUAAAACUCUCUCUUCUCUACCCUUCCAUAAAUCACCCCAUAAUUUUGUGCAAUGCUCACUUUCCAGUGUUGUAACCACCUUGAAGACCUGCUUUGACCACAGCCCUGACUCUCAAUGUCUUCCUUAAAUGGAAAUUCAGACUUUCACCAGAAUCUGCCCCAAAAGGUUUCUGGAAAUGCCCUAGAGAUGCUAUCCAGUCCUUGGAAGACCAGCAAUCUGCCACUAGGCCCCAGAUGGUCCCUGGCCCAUGAAGCCCUGCUCAUUCCACGAUCUCCCUGUCUCCCGCUUUCCCACGCCCUACGCCCAGCCUCCUCCCAAGUGUGAACACAGACUCUUUUCCCUAAUCGCCACCGCAGCCCUGGGAAUCUGAUGUAAAUGUAACAGGAAACCAAGGGGAAGUGCCAGCUGAGUAACGUAACUGCUCCUGCUUGGGACAAUCCUCAGUACAGGGUGACAUUGGGUUGUGAAUGGGAACAAAAACUUCAUCGUCAGGUAGGUCUGAAUUCUGCCCCUACUAGUUGUGUUACACUGAAAACCCCAUCUACGCUGUCUGAGCUGGCUCCCUCCAUCUGUAAGACGAGGAAAAUGAUAGAUAGUAUCUAUCCCAUACGAAAACUCAUACAUGAAUGUUCAAAAAGUGGAAACAUCCCAAAUGCCCAUCAGCUGAUGAAUGGAUAAAAAAGAUGUGGCUGUAUUUAUCAAUGGAAUAUUACUUGGCAGAAAAAGGAAUGCAGUACUGAUAUACGCCACAGCAUCAAGGAUCCUCUAAGUGAAAGAAGCUAGUCACAAAAGACCAUACAUCACAUGACUCCAGCCAAAUGAAGUGUCCAGAAUGGGAAAUCUAUAGAGAAAGAAAGGAGAUAAGUGGCUGCCUAGGGGAGGGGGUGGAGGUGAGUAGGAAGGAAGUGGGCAGUGACUAUUAAUGGGUAUAAGCUUUCUUUGUAGGGUGACAAAAAUGUUCUAAAAUUAGAUUAUGGUUAUGGGCACACAACUCUGUAAAUAUACUAGAAAAGUCCAAUGAAUUUCCCCUUUAAAUAGGCUGUGUAAAUUAUAUAUCAAUAAAGCUAUUAAAA
rnacentral:lncRNA from 10 species